rnacentral:rRNA from 1 species
AGUGAACGCUGGCGGUAGGCCUAACACAUGCAAGUCGAACGGCAGCACAGUAAGAGCUUGCUCUUACGGGUGGCGAGUGGCGGACGGGUGAGGAAUACAUCGGAAUCUACUUUUUCGUGGGGGAUAACGUAGGGAAACUUACGCUAAUACCGCAUACGACCUACGGGUGAAAGCAGGGGAUCUUCGGACCUUGCGCGAUUGAAUGAGCCGAUGUCGGAUUAGCUAGUUGGCGGGGUAAAGGCCCACCAAGGCGACGAUCCGUAGCUGGUCUGAGAGGAUGAUCAGCCACACUGGAACUUGGACACGGUCCAGACUCCUACGGGAGGCAGCAGAGGGGAAUAUUGGACAAUGGGGGCAAGCCUGAUCCAGCCAUACCGCGUGGGUGAAGAAGGCCUUCGGGUUGUAAAGCCCUUUUGUUGGGAAAGAAAAGCAGCAGGUUAAUACCCAGCUGUUCUGACGGUACCCAAAGAAUAAGCACCGGCUAACUUCGUG